AUGGCCUGGUCCCCUCUGCUCCUCAUGUUCCUCUCUCACUGCACAGGGUCCUGGGCCCAGUCUGUGCUGACUCAGCCACAGUCAGUCUCUGGGAACCUGGGCCAGAGGGUCACCAUCUCCUGCACUGGAAGCAGCUCCAACAUCGGGAAGAAAUAUGUGUACUGGUUUCAACAGCUCCCAGGAACAGCUCCCAAACUCCUGAUAUAUAAAAACAGCAAUCGACCCUCAGGGGUCCCUGAUCGAUUCUCUGGCUCCAAGUCUGGCAGCUCAGCCACCCUGACCAUCACUGGGCUCCAGCCUGAGGAUGAGGCUGAUUAUCACUGCUCAAGUUGGGAUGACAGUCUGGAGUGGGUGGGCGGUGGCACUAGAGGAACUGUCAUUUUACCUUGCACUCAGACUCCAGGCCGUGCUCCGCACAUGUUGAUCUACAACACAAAUACCCACCCUUCUGGAAUCCCAAAUCGCUUCUCAGGCUCCAUCUCUGGAAACAAAGCCGCCCUCACCAUCACUGGGGCUCAGACUGAGGAUGAGGCCGAGUAUCACUGUGUGCUGUACAUGGGUAAUGGCAUUUACACAGUGAUGUGA